rnacentral:lncRNA from 1 species
AUGACGGUGCAGGAAGGGGCUGAGGAAGCCAGUCCGGAGCUUCCUCAGGAAAGCCUCAGCUUCCAGAGGGUUCCAGGAUCCAGGAGGGGAGGCAAGGGCCUGGCCAGCCAGUUGAGGGCGGAGCCUACAAGGGAGUGCCUAGCCCUAGCCCGGAAGGGAGGGCAAAGGGCUAUGUUGUCCGCCUGCCCCACCCCACUGACAAGAGUCCCAGUCACCAGGCCACCCUCUCUGUCUGGGGCCCUAGAGGGAACCCAGAAUUCCAAGUUGCUGGAGCACUGGGGGACAUCCAGACAGAGCCCUCACUGGACCAGGUCCUCCAGGAGCGGGAUGAAGCCAUUGCCAAGUGAGAGACAGAUGCCUGGGGGGGUGGGGGUUGGAGGGGAGGGGUGUUGGGAGGGCAGUGGGUGGCUCACCCUCAGGGCUCUGUCCUACUACAGGAAAGGAGGUGAGAAGUCAGGUAUUCCUGCAAGGAAAGCACUCACCCAGUCCCAAGCACUCACCCUGUCUCAAGGCAGGGGCUGUGGACACUUUGACNNNNNNNNNNNNNNNNNNNNNNNNNNNNNNNNNNCUCACCCAGUCCCAAGCACUCACCCUGUCUCAAGGCAGGGGCUGUGGCUACACUUGUCCCCCCCACCCCCCCACCCCCGCCCUAGGGCCCAGAGCAGAUGUGCAGGGUCCCAGUCUCAGGUUGCUCUUCCCACUACCUGCAGGAAGCAGGCAAUGGAGGCUGAGCUGGACUCAUGCAGAGCCAAGUUGCAAGCUGUGGAGGCCCAGCUGCUGGAGGUCCUGGAGGAGAAACUGAGGCUGAGGCAGGAGGUGGAAGCCUGGGAGGAGGACAUGCAUCAAAUGGUGAGGCAGCGGGUCGAGAGUCAGCUGCAGAGAGAGUCCCAGGGCACUCUGGGUGCCCCCGUGAACCCCCAAACUGCCAGGGCCCUGCAGGUCCGAUUCCCCUUGGGUCGGUGGGGACGCUGGCGGUAA